rnacentral:rRNA from 1 species
GACGAACGCCGGCGGCGUGCCUAAUACAUGCAAGUUGAGCGCUGAAGGUUGGUACUUGUACCAACUGGAUGAGCAGCGAACGGGUGAGUAACGCGUGGGGAAUCUGCCUUUGAGCGGGGGACAACAUUUGGAAACGAAUGCUAAUACCGCAUAAAAACUUUAAACACAAGUUUUAAGUUUGAAAGAUGCAAUUGCAUCACUCAAAGAUGAUCCCGCGUUGUAUUAGCUAGUUGGUGAGGUAAAGGCUCACCAAGGCGAUGAUACAUAGCCGACCUGAGAGGGUGAUCGGCCACAUUGGGACUGAGACACGGCCCAAACUCCUACGGGAGGCAGCAGUAGGGAAUCUUAGGCAAUGGACGAAAGUCUGACCGAGCAACGCCGCGUGAGUGAAGAAGGUUUUCGGAUCGUAAAACUCUGUUGGUAGAGAAGAACGUUGGUGAGAGUGGAAAGCUCAUCAAGUGACGGUAACUACCCAGAAAGGGACGGCUAACUACGUG